UGAAGGGAAAAGCACUCAUCCUGGAUGAGAUCAUCAACUAUGUGCGAUCGUUACAAAACCAAGUUGAGUUUCUCUCGACGAAGCUUGCUUUGCUGAGUCCCAUGUUACAUGACCUUGGUUACUUGAGUGGGCAACCAGAGGAUGAUAGCAGUUUUAGGAGACAAGAUCUGGAACAAGAACAAAGGUGUCUCGAUGAGAUGGAGUUCGACGACAUGUUGCUCUUUUCGGUAGAGAAUAUUGAAGAUCCUCUGAUGCUACCACCGAGCUAAAACCUCGA